CCUACGGGAGGCUGCAGUGGGGAAUAUUGGACAAUGGGGGGAACCCUGAUCCAGCCAUGCCGCGUGUGUGAAGAAGGCCCUCGGGUUGUAAAGCACUUUCAGUGAGGAAGAACGCCUGGUGGUUAAUACCCAUCAGGAAAGACAUCACUCACAGAAGAAGCACCGGCUAACUCCGUGCCAGCAGCCGCGGUAAUACGGAGGGUGCGAGCGUUAAUCGGAAUUACUGGGCGUAAAGCGCGCGUAGGUGGCUUGAUAAGCCGGUUGUGAAAGCCCCGGGCUCAACCUGGGAACGGCAUCCGGAACUGUCAAGCUAGAGUGCAGGAGAGGAAGGUAGAAUUCCCGGUGUAGCGGUGAAAUGCGUAGAGAUCGGGAGGAAUACCAGUGGCGAAGGCGGCCUUCUGGACUGACACUGACACUGAGGUGCGAAAGCGUGGGUAGCAAACAGGAUUAGAUACCCUAGUAGUU
rnacentral:rRNA from 1 species